GACAGAGGUGCCAAGCGUUAGGCGGAAUCACUGGGCUUAAAGCGCGUGUAGGUGGCGGCCUAAGUACCUUGUGAAAUCCUGCGGCUCAACCGCAGAACUGCUGGGUAUACUGGUUGUCUUGAGCCAGCUAGGGGCGAGCGGAACAGACGGUGGAGCGGUGAAAUGCGUAGAUAUCGUCUGGAACGCCGAAGGUGAAAACAGCUCGCUGGGGCUGCGCUGACGCUGGAGACACGAAAGCCCAGGGGAGCGAACGGG
rnacentral:rRNA from 1 species